UAGUCCAUAUUUCAUUCAGGCUACUCUAAAAGACUCUUCACAAGUAGGCGCAAUCGUUGCAAUCAUUCAAGCCUUUGGAUGGAGAGAAGUUGUAACCAUUUACGAGAAUACUGAAUUUGGAGAAGGGAUUAUACCAUUUUUAACCGAUGCCUUAGAAAAGGUAAAAGUGCGUGUACCGUACAGGAGUGUCAUUCAAACUUCAGCAACAGAUGAUCAGAUCCUCGCAGAGCUUUACAAGUUGAUGGCUAUGCAAACCAGAGUUUUCAUCGUCCACAUGUUGAACCCUCUUGCUUCUCGCCUGUUCACCAAAGUGGAACAACUAGGGAUGAUGAGUAAAGAUUAUGCAUGGAUAAUAACAGAUAGCAUCACAAACGAUUUAAAUUCAAUGAACCCUUCUGUCAUAGCAUCCAUGCUAGGAGUAAUAGGAGUAAAACCUUAUGUUCCAAAUACAAAGGAACUGGAUGACUUUAUAACUCGAUACAAGAAAAGGGUUCUGCAAAGCAAUCGAAAAGCCCUUGGCGUGGACAUUUACGGGCUAUGGGCUUACGACUCGGCCAUAGCACUAGCCAUGGCAGCAGAAACUGCAGGACUAAAAAAUCUUACAUAUCAAGAAACGAACACAUCAACAAAUUCUACGGAUCUUGAAGCCAUUGGAGUAUCAAUAAGUGGACCAGAGCUCAUUCAGGCUUUAUCAAAUAUCACAUUUAGGGGCCUUGCUGGAGAUUUUCGAUUGGUCGAUGGCCAACUCCAAGCGCCUCCAUAUGAGAUAGUCAAUAUGGUUGGUCCUGGAGCUAGAGGCAUAGGAUAUUGGACAAAAGAGAACGGAAUCAUCAACAAACUGAACUUCACUAGUUCAAGCACAAAUGAAUAUUCCACUUCCAAGUCCAACCUUGGGCCUACUAUAUGGCCAGGCGACGAAUCAUUUCCACCUAAAGGUUGGGUGGUUCCUACAAGAGGGAAGAAAUUGAAGGUAGGAGUACCCGUAAAGGAUGGUUUCACAGAUUUCGUUCGUGUAACUUGGAAUUCCGACAAUUCUACAACAGUGGAAGGAUACUGCAUAGAUGUUUUUGAUGCUGUGAUGGCAGCACUGCCAUAUGGUGUGCCGUAUGAAUACAUUCCAUUUGCAACAACUGAUCACAAGAUGGCUGGUGAUUACAAUGCGCUGACCCAGCAAGUGUACCUUGGAGUAAGUAUCUUCUUUAUUACAAUGAAUUUAAAAAUCAAACACAUUUUUUUAUCAACAUAGAGCAAGAUGGUACAGCUGACCUUUUCUCUAAUCAAUCAACAGAAUUAUGACGCUGUGGCUGGGGAUGUAACAAUUCUAGCAAAUAGGUCACAGUACGUCGACUUCACUUUGC
rnacentral:lncRNA from 1 species